rnacentral:misc_RNA from 1 species
AAGUCGUAACAAGGUAACCGUAGGUGAACCUGCGGUUGGAUCAUUAAUAAAUUAAAAAUUGUUUCUUACCAUAACAGGUCUAGAAAGCCACUUAACUCUGAAAGGGUGGUGUGCAACCCCAAUUUUUGUGAACUUGUAACCUUAAAACAUUUUUGAAGAGAGGAAAGAUUUUGGGUUAUGGCCUUACCAAGGUCUUGGCCCAAGUUUUUCUGCCUUGGAGAAAAUUAUAUAAUAACCCUGAAUGAAAGAACUUGUCUUUACCGUUUUUUAUAAAAAUAAAUAAUAAUAAACAACUUUUGACAACGGAUCUCUAGGCUCUC